AACGCACAUUGCGCCCGUUGGUAUUCCAACGGGCAUGCCUGUUCGAGCGUCAUUUGUACUCUCCAGCGCAGCUGGGUGUUGGGCGUCUUGUUCCGCCGCGCGCGCGAACUCGCCUUAAAUGCAUUGGCCGCCGGGGGUCCCGUGGAGGAGCGCAGCACAGCCCGCGCACCUGGUACGGGACCGCGGCGCCCAUCAAGCCAACCCCUUUUUACGCUUGACCUCGGAUCAGGUAGGGAUACCCGCUGAACUUAA
rnacentral:misc_RNA from 1 species